rnacentral:lncRNA from 13 species
UCGGCUCCCCCUAAAUCCGAGAUGGCCUCAUCUCUGGACCCUUAACCCAGUACGUCUGCAAUUACAGGGAUUUCCAAUAAGGUCCCAUCCCAGGUCCUGGGGCACGAGUGCAGUCAGAGUUCUGGGUUCCCGCAGCCCGCUUGUCCCAGUCUUCAUUCGGGGGGAGCUCGGUGGCCGUCCCUGCCACCCACUCUAGCAGUGGCCCCUUCUUCACGGCUCAUUUUUCUUUAUGGAGCUCAUUUCUUUCUGACAUUAACGUGCCUCACCCACUGCCGGGUCACCUGGAGAGCAGGGAUGAGGCACCGUAUUCACUCUAAGCUGCAUCCUCAGUCCACAGCGCUGCCCCAGGAAGUCCUGCUGAGUGUUGGGUGUUUCCCUGGGCUGAUGGUUUGCACCUGGCGGCUGGAGGAACCCCCGGCCCGGGGCUGACGGCGACCCCGCCUUGGCCUCUGUUCUCCCUGCGGAAUCGCUUUGACUGCUCCUGAGGGCGGUGAGGCCGCCUUGCUGUGUCAGAUUCAUGGAUUGUAAUGGAAUUCAUCAGACGAAAAACAGACAAAGGAACACACAGGAUGAAAGGUGGAGCCGUGUUCUUCUCCUUUAAAAAGAUUUUUAAAAAACUGUGAACUGUGCAAAAAUAUUCCUAUUGUCAUGGCCCAGCAUUAGAACCGAGUACAAUCCUGCAUGCUUGCUUCAAGCCCCUCUGUGUUUUCCCUCUAAGGUACUCGAUUGUUUCUGUGAAAAUAACACAUACUCAUUCCAAAGAAUUUAAUCGAUGCAGAAAUGUGCCAAGAAAAAAAUGCAAACACUCUAGGCACCUUCACCCAGGAAACACUGCUGUUGACAUGCGGUGAUUAUUAUUCCGGGGGAGUGGCGGAUACGCAGCAACGCUCCGAAUGUGGACACGCUGUUUUCAGUCAGAGUUAAAUUUCAUCCACUCGAGCUUGAGAUGAGAAAAGGAAACUCAAGGGGUUUUUGAAUUGCAAACGCAUGGCUCUCUAUCAAGUUAUUUUUGAGAGUUCUCUAAGGCGGUUGUAAAAAGUUUACAGAGCAGUGCAAGCUUUGAGUCACCUUUUAAGAAUGGAUGGCAAUUUAGACAUGGCUGUAAAACGUGGCGAAUGUGUGUGUUGAGUCUUCUGCCCGUCUCUCUCCCUCCCACUCUGACUGUCGUUGGUCGUAUCCCUGCCUUAUAUUGUCCUGCUUUGCAACACUGGUGUUCCAGUGUGAGACAGUAACUCCUGCAUCACUGGGUAUGGGGAAUCUUUCCAGGAUCCGGUGCUGCUGGUGAACACAGUGCCUUUCACUUUUCUAUUCCUGAAGUUGGACUCCACUCUGGAUUGCUUUGCCAGCUGGCAUCUGGUUUUUUAGGAAGGGCUCUUGGGUGCUGAAGUCCUUUCGUGCCUCUGUCCCAGGUGCUAUCUUGGCUGGGCAU